UAAAAGUUGAGGUUGGAUGUGGGAUCCUGUCUGAUCCUUUGUCAUAUGAAGACUACUCUGCUGUUUCAUAAAGAGAGAGAGAGAGAGAAAGAGGGGGGGUGAGAGAGAGAGAGAGAGAGAGAGAGAGAGAGAGAGAGAGAGAGGGGUUGUGAAAGGAGUGCAGCUUCAGCAGCAACAGGCACGCUAAAGAAACUUGCAACUAUGUGAAUGGGACAAAAAGCAAAGGGAACAAAGCAUUUAGGGCCCAGCUGAAUCCUGCAUCCUCAGACUGAAUCAGAGAAAGGAGGUCAGUGUGAUGAACAGCAUGCUUCCCCAGAGGAGUGCUGUCGCCACACUGGGCUACAGCUCAGACUGUGUGAAGAUGGAGCACAGUGGCAGUGGCUCAGUGGGUGGGACAUUGCUGAGGGGGUCUCGCUCUAAAGCAGAGCUACAAGACCUGAUGGAGACGCUGCAGCGCAGGAAGAGUGCUCUGGAGGCCAGCUUGAGGGCAGCUGAGUGCAGCCGCAAGUACCUCAGUGUGCCCUCUCCUGUUGGAUCCCAGUCCACAAGGCCACUGUCAAUCCUCAGCAAUACCGAACGGCCCCCGUCUGCCUCCACAACUUUUUCCUAUAUGACCAGCAGCAGCAGUGUGCCUCCAUCACCUCGACAAGGUGAACGUCAGCUGAGCCCUAAUGGCUUGCAUCGGUAUUCCCACUCUCGCCACCAGUCACAAGACAGUCUGCUCUUCUCUUACGCAGCAGAUGGAAACUCUCUGCUCUCCUCCUAUGGCCAGCCCCUACCUCGUUCCCCCAGGGUUAAAGGUGGAGCAGCCAGCGUGCCGUCCAGUCCUCGCAUGGCCCGCAGGCUCUACUCUCAUGGCAAAGUUGGCCAAGACUCACGGCAGAGGAAAUACUCCACUGGCUCCCUCCACAGCCUGGGGACGCAUAGCCGUUCUCUGCCACGGCUUCACAACGCAGCAGAGCCCCCUACACUGUCGCUACCAUCACGACACUCAGUGGGUUCCCACAGAGGAGUGGGCUCAGCAGGGCAGCGGCGCAGUCUCUCCUCCCUCGAGCAGCCACCAGAUGUGACUGUACCAGCCAGCAUGCCCAGCACUCCCAGGAGGGCCAGCCUGGCCUCCUUGAGCUCUCUGGGUGUAGAUAUAGACGGGACAGGCUUAGAUCUGGGCUUCGGAGAGAGGAGGUUAUCCUUUGGGAAGGGUGGGCUUGGUCCAGGACAAAGGGUGGGCAGCAUCAGCUCCUUGAAUGGCAAAGAGGAGCUUAGAGACUAUCACCAGCACCAGAGAGAUGAACGACUCAGGGAGCAGAAAGUGCAGAGAUUGGAGUGCCAGCGUCUCGAGACCAUCUUAAACCUGGUCACUGAGUUUGGCCAUGUGGAGAGAGAGCCGGCGGGCUCAGCUGUUUCUGACCUGCAGAAGAUCAAUAAAGAAUUGGAGAAGCUGCAGGUGUCAGAAGAUGAGUCAGCGUUCUCUGACUCUCCCAGUGGCGCUGAUCCAGAGAGCUGCUUUGGAGCCAAAGCCAGAGACUUCCAACUCACUGAGAAUCAGCAAGUCAGCCAGCGUCAGCAGAGCGGCUACAGAGAGGCCAGGUCCCACUCACCUGCUAUCAGCCUGAACAGCAGUGCUCCCUCACCCUCCACCCAUCACAGAGCCAAAGCCUUUGAGAGUGUGCAGCUGAAACAGGAAGUAACGCACAUAGAGGAAGAGCGGAUUCAAGUUCUGAACAACAUAGAAGAGCUGGAGCAGAAGAUCAAAGACCUGGACAACCAGAUGGAGGAGUCUGUCCGAGAGAUGGAGGUGGAGUGUGCUUUGCUGGAGGGGGAACAGGAGUCAGAGAUGGCCCAGCUGCAGAGAGAAAAGGAGCUUCUGGACAAACUUAAGAAACAAAUGCAUAGUAUUGAGAAGACGAGCCAUAUUGAGAAAUCCCAGGAGGCUGAGGAACAGACAAAAAGUUUGGAGGAUUUGGAGUUUCAGAAGCUGGAGAAAGAAAUGAAUCAGGAUGAGGUUAAAGAAAAUGAGAGUCAAGAGCUUCUGCGAGAGAUUGCCGAUUGUCAGCGUCUUACAGUCACACGCAAGGAAAGACUCAUGACGCUGAAGAAACAGACCUCACAGAUAGCAUUACAGGCUCAGCAAGAAAGAGAGAAUUUCCAGAGGGAGAAAAAUAAUUUCCUCGUCAUGCUUCAGAAGGAAAGAGAGAAACUGGCAUCUUUGGAAGGAAAGUAUGCAGAGCUAUCUGAGGGGCAGACCUUCACCAACAACCCUGCAGCCAUCAAAGAGGCAAGUUACUCUCUGAAGGAAAGGAGAAGAAUCAGCAAAGACAACUCUUCCCACCCAAUUGACAGCCUACCUCAUAAGAGGAGCCAGCAGGUCCUCACCUCUUACGGCAGAUCCCUGGGACGCACACUUUCUCCGAAGCCCCACUUGCCUCUGUCCCAAAGCUCGAGCUGUGGCAGCGUCAUCUCACAAGGCUUCAGCUUCUCCCCCAGGGACAUGAGCACGCGCCGCCUGCCUAAAACAGGCAACAGCCGUGCACACAUGAAUGAAGACAGACAGAGAAGAAGUGAUUUUUGCAGCAGGAUGAUCUCUGAGCCCAGUGUGUUCUUGGACUCCUUCUCCUACCCGGACAACAGCCAGGCCUCAGAUACUGUCAGUGUGGACAGCUCUGACAGCCUGGAGACCAGCUUCUCCGCCUGCUCCCCAGACAAUAUCUCCAGCGCCAGUACGUCCAAUAUGGCGAAGAUCGAGGAGAUGGAGCGUUUACUUCGAGAGGCCCAGGCUGAGAAACAUAAGCUCCUAGAGAAUCGGGAGCGUGAGAUGGAGAUGCGGAGGCAUGCUCUGGAAGAAGAGCGGAGAAGAAGGGAGGAACUGGAGAAACGACUGCAGGAGGAGACAAGCCGAAGACAGAAACUUGUAGAAAGAGAGGUGAAGCUCAGGGAGAAACAAAGAUCACAGUCCCGGUUGUUGACUCGCUACCUCCCUGUAAGGAAAGAUGACUUUGAUCUUCACGGCCAUAUUGAGGCAGCUGGACACAACCCUGACGGCUGCUUCCAUCUGGCCAUCACUGAUAAAACCUGUCGAGGCUUUCUGGUCAAAAUGGGCGGCAAAAUCAAGACCUGGAAGAAACGCUGGUUUGUCUUUGACCAGAAUCGCAGGACGCUCACCUACUAUGCAGACAAACAUGAGACCAAGAUGAAAGGAGUCAUUUACUUCCAAGCCAUAGAAGAAGUGUACUAUGACCAUUUAAAGAGUGCACACAAAAGUCCCAACCCCUCGCUGACGUUCAGUGUGAAGACCCACGAUCGGGUGUACUACAUGGUGGCUCCGUCACCUGAGGCCAUGCGUAUCUGGAUGGAUGUCAUGGUUACGGGUGCAGAAGGACACAUGCAUUUCAUGGUGUAACUGAUCCCAACAGGUCAGGGUUUACACCACUAAAUUCCAUUAGUAAACAGUGUGUCACAUGAGAAGUUAUGCGGCACUUUGCUUGUAUAAUUGAUAAACAGGAGUUAUAAUUAAGCUGUUCUUUGGUUUAAACUGUUCUUUAGUUUUUUCUGUACUGUAGUCCGUGAAAGGUCACUAAAUCUUGCACCAGUUUAGUUGCAUUGUCCAACUUUAUCUUUCCUUAAACAAAAUGUCUGCCAUCUCAUACUUGAGUCAACACUUGAUCAGGGAAGCUUCUCAAUGAUUAGAGAGAUCUGUUACACUUCUAAACUGUGGUACAAACUGAUGCUGCAUGUCUUUAAUAAAUGCAUAUCUGCAUUUCUAUAACCUAGGCUUUGGUAAUUUAUGUAUCCGCGAUGUA